rnacentral:rRNA from 1 species
CACGUAGGGCGCGAGCGUUGUCCGGAAUUAUUGGGCGUAAAGAGCUCGUAGGCGGCCUGUUGCGUCCGCUGUGAAAGCCCGGGGCUUAACCCCGGGUCGGCAGUGGAUACGGGCAGGCUAGAGGUAGGUAGGGGAGAAUGGAAUUCCCGGUGUAGCGGUGAAAUGCGCAGAUAUCGGGAAGAACACCCGUGGCGAAGGCGACUACUUGGCCUGUUCUUGACGCUGAGGCGCGAAAGCUAGGGGAGCAAACGGG